AGGACGAACGCUGGCGGCGUGCUUAACACAUGCAAGUCGAACGGUAAGGCCCCUUCGGGGGUACACGAGUGGCGAACGGGUGAGUAACACGUGAGCAACCUGCCCUUGACUUCGGAAUACCAGUUGGAAACAGCUGCUAAUACCGGAUAUGACCUCUUCCUUCCUGGGUUGAGGUGGAAAGCUCCGGCGGUCAAGGAUGGGCUCGCGGCCUAUCAGCUUGUUGGUGAGGUAAUGGCUCACCAAGGCUUCGACGGGUAGCCGGCCUGAGAGGGCGACCGGCCACACUGGGACUGAGAUACGGCCCAGACUCCUACGGGAGGCAGCAGUGGGGAAUAUUGCACAAUGGGCGCAAGCCUGAUGCAGCAACGCCGCGUGCGGGAUGACGGCCUUCGGGUUGUAAACCGCGUUUCAGUAGGGACGAAGCUAACGUGACGGUACCUACAGAAGAAGGACCGGCUAACUACGCGCCAGCAGCCGCGGUAA
rnacentral:rRNA from 1 species